GAAUGUUGAUGUGAAAGAGGUCCUGUGUUCAUAUCUUGGCAUGGGCAUUAUUUUUACUCGUGUGUCCAGGAGAGUUUGAGAUGGACUAAAAAUCUAAGUAGUGGAUUUAGUGGGGAGUUUGAUGGAGAGAAAUAAGGGAUUGGGGUGGUUAUCAAAUAUUCUGUUCAUCUUUUUUUUUCUUGUUUUUUACUUUCCCCAAAAUCCCUCCACCCUCUUGUUGUUUUUCUUUUCAUUGCUGCCAAAUUUUUUCUCUUUCACCCUUCAUCUUCUUGAUUUUUCUAUUUCCACUCUGCCUCAUGUCGCUACACGUUUGUCUGCGAUCGUUCGGGGAGGAUUCAAGGGCUCGUAAUCACCAAUCGG
rnacentral:lncRNA from 1 species